CAAACUUGGUCUCAUGCAAUUCCGAUCAUUACAUAAUUAGUUACAGCAUAUACAAUACCACCACAACACAACUCUACAUCCUUAUUAACAAACACCAAUUCUAAUCCAUCAUAAAUAAAUAUAAGAGCACACUAUUAAUAGCUUUCACACCUCAUAAUUCUAAUAUAUAAAUUCACUAACAAAUCUAUUCUAACAACAUUACAAGGCUAAUCAUUAAAUACAACAAACAAUCCAACUUAUUCUAUGGUUCCUCUAACCUAAGUUUUCACAACACCGUAAAUAUUAGACAUGCGAAACUUAAACCAUACCUUGGCCGAUCACUUAGUUUCACCCAAGGCAGCCUCACAACAUAAAACACAGCCCCUCCAAGCUCAAUUAAAACAGCCACAAACCAAGCCUUGAUCAUCAAUAAGCCUCCAAAUACUCCCAAUUCAAUUCUAAUGCAUAUAUACCCACUUAAUUUACACCUAAUUCAUAUACAUGUUCCAAAUUCAGUUUUUCUACUAUAAAUGCAAGAUUGGGAUAGGAUUAGGGUGUUUUUACCAUACCCAUAUGCUCAAUAACUUGAGCCCACAAGUUCCGGAAGCUAACUUGAACCUAGAACACAAAAAUUGGACAAGAUUCACUAUAGGUUUUCAAGUUUACCAAAAAAAGAGGGAUAGAGAUUCUGAACCUAAUAGGAGACUUACCAGUGAAAUUGUUCAGAUAGAAAGGUGGAACUCGAUGCACUGGACGCGUGGCCGUGAACGGUGCGGCGAUCGGAGCUCAAAUGAGGAAGUUAUGGUAGUUGGAAGGAAUGGUGAGGGUUUUGGAAUCUCCUCUCCCCCCCCCCCUUGCUGUUUUGCUGCGUUGCUACGAUGAAAUGAAGAAGAUGAAGCUGCUGCUUCUUUAUGUUAUGGGUCCGGUUGGACCCACGGGCCUGGUUUGGGUCCCGGUUCAACCGAUUCGGUCUUUUCGGUCCGUUGUUGGGCCUAAUUUUUGAAAUUGAUAUCAAAAUUCUUGUUUCGACGAACUCUAUCCUAUUUUGAUAUUAGUUUUGUAUUUUUAUCUUUCCUAAUUAAAAUUUAAUUUAUUAACUAAUAAUUUACCGAUUUUUGUGGGUUUACACCAGCGGCACCAACAACUCCGACGGCAAGGACGAUAGCUUGAUUCAGGUUCACCCGAACGGCGACGGUGAUGGUCCUCCCGACUCCACGAGCCACGAUGGUGCACGGCGGCCGCGAGGACGAAGCCUUUCUCCUCUUCCCCGUUGCGCGCUUCCUUCUCCUCUGCGUCUAUCUUUUUCUUUUCCGCUCGAUCUUCCUCUUUCUCUCUCCUCCGUUCUGUUUUUCAACGGUGACGACGGCUCCCAAUUCUGUCGGCGCUGUCUCUCUCCUCCCUCCUCUCUUUUUUUCUCUGAGCAUGGGUGAGAAUGAAAAUGCGUGUGUGUGGGGCUGAGAGAUAGUGAGGGGGUGAGGUGAGUGAAAAAUGUUGGUGUAUGACUAAGGUUAGAGAAAGAAGAAAAAUAUUUAAGAGUAGACUUCAUCAUCUCACUUAUUUAUUUAUUUACUUAUUUUUCUGGUUAUUAUAACAUGUCAUCAAAUAAUCGUUUAACCACUUAUCUCUCAUUUUAUUAAUAAUUUUUUUAUAAAAUAUCUUUUCAAUUUUAUUAUAGAAAAUAAGAAAAUAUAUGUUUUAAAUUAGUAUAUUGAUAAAGUAGAUUAAAAAUUACAUAAAUAAUUUAAAUAUUUAAAUAUUUAAAAUAACAAUAGUUAAUUAAAAUUCUAGAAAGUAUAAAAAAGAAGAAGAUACUCUUACCUCAGGAAAGUUAAGUUGGAGUAAAGAUUUUUUUUAACCAAAAUAUUUGGAUUGAGAAAGUAAAAAGUUAGAUAGAAAUAAAGAUAGAAAGAGACAAGAGAAUAAAGUGACACAUGAGUAUGAAUAAAAAUAUGUUAGAUAGACCUAUUACAAAAGAAGCAGUCUGUUCUGUUAUAAAAGAGACUCAAUCUCAGCCUAUUAUAAAAGUUUUAAUAUCUUAAUAUGUCAGGUCCAAGUAAAAAUGAUAAUAGGACUCUAUGGGGCGGGGACCCCUUGCCGCAUCUCCCGUCCUUGUUUAGUAAAGUCCCUUAUUUUUGUCUUAUUCUAGCACAACCUCACAGGUUCCAUUUAUUUUCUCUCAUUGGGAAAGCGAAUCCCCGCAGAUAUUCAUAGAUAUUAAAUUUAAAUAAAAUUUAAAAAGUAACACUAUCAUAAUAAAAUGUAAUACAAUUCAACUAAAUAUAUCAAAUUAAAGCAUAAUCUAAAUACAAAUUUAACAUAAUCAAUAUACACACAAAAUUUUCAAUGUACAUUUUAAAAUAAAAUGAAAUAAAAAAAAACUUCCAACAAAAUAAUAUAACAAUUCUUGGUGGUUGAUCAUAGCUGGAUAAUAAUAUCCCCUUGUAAAACACAAAUUUGAAUAAUUAGUUAUUACAAAUUUAAAUAUUAUACACAUCAUUAAUUUGUUUUUUGAUAAAACUUAAAAAAGUCAAUAAACAUACACUUACAUAAAACUAAGUUGGAUUGGUCUAGUGGUUAGCUCACUAAUAUGCUUAAAAAAAAGUGUUGGGGGCUUGAAUUCCGCCUUGUGCAUGCAGCAACCCAUUAACCAGCAACAAACUCUUAAAUAGAACUCAAUACCACGGCGGAUCAAUCAUUGGCCUGUCAGGUUUGAGGAUAACGUGGGAAACCAAAAAAACAUACACUUAAGGAUAUUUAAGUAAUUUUUUGCAGAAAUUUCACGGAUAGGUCUCGUGGGACGGGUUAGCGGGUAUCUCCAUUCCCGCUCCCGUCCCCAUAGAGAUUUUGCGGGUCCUCGUUAGCUCCCCCAUCGUGGGUAAUCCCUAUGGGUAUUCACGGAUGCCAGACGUGUAGAUGCAGAUUUUUUUUAUUAUUUUUAGGCCCAAACUUACUAAUUAACUUUAUUGACUUGUCAGACCUGUCUGGACCUGUUAAAAUAUAAAUAAAUAUAUAAAUAAUAUUUUUUAUUAACANNACACGCUUAAUAAGUUCUUCAUGAAUGACUUAGUAAAGGACAUAAGGUACAAUGAUGUGAGCGAGCUUUACUGGCUUGAACAUGGGAAGGAGUUGGAUGGUGGGUUGAGGUUGCUUAGACUAGACAUGGAUGUGGUGAGUAUGUAUAAAGCAGCCAUUGCUAAUGGGAGGAGAGUUGAGGUGUUCACCGAGCAUCCAUUUGACCUUCCUGAGUUCGUAGAAGAGAACAAUGAACCCGAACCAGAGCUUGAGAUAUUAACUGUUAAUAGGACCCCAGUGAAGCACAGAACCAAACUGUGUGUUAGGAGACCCCCAACCCCAAAGAAGAAGAGAAAGAGAGUGGUGAAAUUGAGUGAGACUGUAGGAGGUGUGCCUGGGCCGGAUGCUCAAACAGAGGAUGCUGUGGUAGAGAAAGAAGUCUAUCAUAGUCGAAGAAACACAGAACAACCAGAUUUAAGAAAUGAUCAACCAAAUAUACCCAUCCAUUCACCAAAGGUAACCUUCGAUGAGGCAACAAGGAUCAUUCAACUACCGAAUCCACCCACAGAAUUGAAAAUGGCAAUGUGGAGAUGUGCCAAGGCCACAACCCCUCAAGAGUUCAAUGCUGUACUGGAUAGGAUCAAAAGGGUCAAUCCCCAUGCUUGGGAGUAUCUGAAUAGGAUCCCUCCAAGUCAAUGGAGUAGGAGUGGUUUUAGUUAGUAUCCAAAGUCUGACAACUACAUAAACAACAACUGCGAAUCAUUCAAUUCUAGGAUCAAGAAAAUGAGAGGGAAGCCUAUCAUAACUAUGCUGGAAGAGGUGCGGUGUUAUAUGAUGAGUAUCAUUGCAAGAAAUAAGAAGGCGUUAGUGGGUUAUAAUGGAGUAAUCACUCCUGUGCAACAGAGUAGGCUUGAAAAAGAGAAAAGAGAGAGCAAUAAGUGGCGGCCGUUUCCCACUGGAGAUGAUCCUGGAAAUGUGUAUGAAGUACAGUGCCUGCUUCAUAAGGUUAUGGUGGAUAUAGGCAAGAGGACUUAUUCCUGUAGGUUUUGGCAACUGACUGGCUUGCCGUGCAGGCAUGCAUGUGCUGCACUGGCAUACCAGAAUAGGAAGCCAGAGGAACAUGCACAUAACUGGCUUUCUAUGGGGGCAUAUAAUAGCACAUACCAGUACGUCAUCCAGCCUGUCUCUAGUCAAGAAUACUGGCAGCAUGUUGAUCUACCUCCUAUAUUGUCCCCAGUAUACAAGAAGCAGAUUGGGAGGCCAAAGUUGAAAAGAGAUAAAAAGAACGACGCCCCAAAAGAACCCACCCCAGAUCCUCAUAGGGCCCCCAGAAAGUUUGGCCCCAACACAUGCAAGUACUGCCUAAAGGUAAACCAUAAUUCAUAUGCUCCCAUUACUUGUGCUUUCAAUGUCCACAAUUUGAAAGUUCAUGUUACAUGUAUUGCAGACUGAACACAACAGCCGUAGCUGUUCCAAGAAGAAGGAAGCAAUGGCUGGGAGUGUUGGGAGACAAAGUUCCAAUCAACACCCAGCUGCUGAGGAUGAUGGGGAUGAGGCUGCAAGACUGGAGGAGACUCUGAAAGCUGUUGAAGCAGCUGAAGCAGCUGCAUCUCAGCCACCACAUGUAAGUCUAAUGAUGUAUUUUACAACUUCAUUUUAAAAGUUCUUAAUCAAAUCAAUCAUAUGUGUCUGCUGUUGUAGGAGACCACCCCAGUUCCUCAACCCAUUCCUAAUCCACUGAGGUCUCCUUCAACUAGGCCACCAACUGCAAAAAAGCCACCAAGGAAGAAGAAGAAUCUGCGAAGACCACCACCAACUACUCACCAACCACAUUCUGCUCCAGCAACACCAACUACUACUACUCCAUCACCCACGGCCUCUGAUGUGCCACCCACUGUGACACCUCAAACCAUGCAAGCUGCCUCCGAGGGCACUACUUCCAGAUUCAUGGAAUUCAUGCCUAGUCCCACAGGGAUAGGAUCAAGCUCAGGUAGGUGGCCUCAGCCUGCCUUCCGUCCACCACCAAAAAAGAGGUCAACAACUGCACACUUGAAGGAAGGGUCAAGCGGCAGCAGCAACUCCACUCCAAUUCCAUAAAGCAAGAGUCUUUAUAUUAUGUUUUUUUUUGGUACUGUGCCAUGGCAGUUUAUGUUACAAUUGUUGGAUAUGUCACAUACUAUACCUACAAUUGCUUAUGUUUUGGUUUUCGGUGUUUGUGCAUGGUCGUAGUUGAAAACUCAUACCUAUAACUUGAACACUUCAGUUUCUCAAUUUCUACGUACUUAUGAGCUUAUUUUACCUGUAUUUCAUGUUAUUUUGGAGCAGAAAGUAAAAAUUACUUGAAAUUAGUAAUAGAUAACUUCUGCAAAUUUACAAGUCUUAUAAGACUCUAUUUGACAUUUUCUGGAUUCCAGAUGUCUACAAAUAACAGAUACAUAAUCGAACAUGGGUAUUUUUGUCAAAGCCUAACACUCAAACUACUUGUGCUCAAAACCCCCUGAGAAUCAGAUACAAAGUGCAGACAACAUUACAUACCACCACCAUUGACAUAAUCACAAGCCAAAACCUAACUUUACUAAAUUCAGCUUCACACCUCCCUAACAUCAUGAGCAUCUUCACUUCAGCCUUAGCCUCAUUAACGUCUUCCUGCAUCUUUCUUUCUGACAGUGCUCUCCUCAAACCCUCACAUUGCCCUUCAAUUUCGUCUACCCAUGCAAAGAAGUCGCAGUCCGAGUUCUAUCCAUGGCAGAAAAAUUAAAAUCAGAUACCGAUUCAACUCUCACAUAACAGGGUGUAAAACGGGUUACCUUCCAAUUGGGACAACGUACGAACCACCUCCCAGGAUUCAUCGCCGUCCCUGACUGUAAAGCGUCACCCCCAACCCACAGAAACAUCUCCCAUUGAACUUCCUAUCAUGCACCCUUCCUGAAUUUGAGCUUCCAGACACACUACCACUGCCAUUCGAAGUUGGAGUAAACAGUAUUCGCCUUGACAUUGGUAUAAUUUCGAAGAUUUUUGUGAAUCUAGGGUUAGGGUUCUUAUUUGGGAUGGAACAAGGUUUGAAUUUGGGAAAUUUUGGGGUUGAAGAUACAUUAUAACGGUCACACAGCUCAGCAAUCCACAUGUGAAGUCCCCCAAGCCAUGUCACACCGGGAAGUACCACGGAGGAUGCGUUACUAACGGAGUCAACGCCGGAAUAAGGCUUGGUUAGUUUCGUCCCACGGAUGUCACCAUUGAUGGUUACAUUUGGUAGUUUUCUUCUCUCGUGAGUAUAUUUGUCAGCGUUUUCAACUUCUAUGGGUACAAAUGGUAGUUUACUCUUUUUAAAAUCUCAAUUGUCCCCACAUAGUAUUGUGUGCAGUGGCCAGUGGGUCUGUGCCUGUAUAUGCAUAUCCAUUGUGCAGAAAACCAUAUGAACAAAGGUGCACAAUAAAAGAGUGCAUGCAUGGUGCCGAGUAAUUCAAUUUUCUACUUCAAUUUUUGAAUCUACCUUUUAAAUAGAAUAAUAAUACAAUAUAAUAAUACCACAAUCACAACAUAAUUUUCAUGAAUAAAGACCUCCAAAACAUCACACCAACCAAAUAUAGGUGUAGAGCGAGUAUCAUUCAUUAGUCAAAUAUUUGUUUCGUUUAUAUAAGAAUAUUGGGAUCUUCUCUUUUAUUAUUCAUUACAGAAAGAUAUAAGAAUGAUAUACAAAGCAAAUCAUGCUAAAAACACUAAUCCCCAUUAAUUAUUAUAGUAGAUAUAUAUAAGUUACAAUAUAAUUAAAAAACAAUUAACUACUAAAAUAAUUAAAAUUUUAUCGUAGAAUAUUCAAACAUAUUUUGAUAUAAUAAUUAAACUUUUUAAUCGUAGCAUAAUCAUACUUUUCUAUAAACAUCAAAUAUAUAACUUUGUAAGGUACCUUUCUAUUAAGUUUUGUAUUUAAUAUUUAUUGUUUUAAAUUAUCGGCGAGCAAGUUAAGAAGCAAAAAAGAAAAUCAAUUACAAAGAAACAGUACGAGGAAAGACAACUCAAAAUCCGUAAAGAAUUAGAACAAAAUUAUAGUAGAAAGAGAAUUAUAAACAAUUAAAAAAAAGAUAUAUGCAACAAGAGGGUGCAUGAGAACCUUUAAACUGCUUUGGCGGAACUCCAAAGCAAACAUAAAAUCUACUUCAACCUAAACAUUUUGAUAUCUAUUUUGGGAGGCAAUUGAUAGCCCAAGGAAGAUACUAGAAAGUUAAGCUAGAUAGAGUGAUAGAGUAAGCUUCUAAACUUGCACUAAAAAUUUCAAUAAAAUUUUCAUGGUGGUCUCGAAUGAUACUACUGCAAGCUGCCAAACCAAAUUCACUAACUGAGCCAUCUGUCUUGAUCUUAAUCUAGAAUUAAGAUAUGGGCACUGAGAUACGUGGAUAAUAGAUAAUUCUACCACAAGGGAUUUACUUUUUUCAACACAUUCUACUGUAAAUUGAUAUUCUUUAGCUAGACUCAAGUUUUCUACAAAGGAAAGAAUCAUGACUAUAACCUAAGUUUUAGGCAAGUAGUUGCAAAGAAAAGGGGUCACAGAACCCAAUUGAAAGUGAGAUCAAGAUCGUCUAAAACGAAGGAGUUGGUAAAAUAAUAAAAUGAAGAGUUAAUCACACUUAAAUUGAUAAUAGGGUUCAUAUAUAAUAAAAAUUACUGUUGACAUACUUGACAAUUAGACAAUUAGUGAGUUAGUUGUGUGUACUAUAUGUGCAGAGUGUUAAUAUGAGAAGUCUGUAGUAUAAUUUUAUUGUUCAAGGAGUUAGUUAAGAGAUUGUCUAGUCAGCAAGUAGUUAAGAUGGUAUGAAAGGUGUGACUUUAGAUAUUUUUCAGAUAACUAGUGCGUGAUAGAAAGUAGUAUAAAUAGUUAGCUCAAGUAUAUUUGUUCUUUAUAGUUCAUCAUUCUUAUGAAUCAUUCUUGAAUUCCCUUUCACAAACUCUCUUCCUCCUCUGUUCUCUUUUGACACGAAUCACCGAUUUUUCCUCAGUUACAAAAUCAAUGAUAAUUAAUUUAUAUAUAACUAUAUUUUAACUUUAGAAUUUCACUUUUUUCUUUCCAAAUUAAUAAAAACCAGGAGUUACAUGAGAAUUAUUUAAAACACAAAGAAGUGUUGGACUAAUUAUGAUUAUUGUUUGGGUCUAGCUAAUGUCUUAAGUGCACUUAUUAAAGUGUCAAACAUGAAAAUUUUCUUAUUGAAAAUAAAAGUUUGAAAGAUUUCCAUUCUUUUAUAAUAUAUUUAUCAAAAGAAAUUAAAAAUUAUCUUAACGGCGUUGUUAGAAAAUUCUUAUAUUUAAUUAAAAGAAGUCCUCCUUUAAGAAGAAACAAUGCCUCGUGAGAAAUUAUUUGUCUCAAUUGAAAAAUUUGGUGAAGGGGCUAAUAUGAUUGAAUGACUAUAAUUCUGCGGUUACGAGAUCGCGACAAAGUUAAUAGAGCGACAAAAUUAAUAGAGGACUGAUUGUUUGAAAAAAAUGAUGAUUAAAGUCGAAUUAUUAUUUUCUAAUUAUAAAGGGACAUAUAGUCCUUCCUUGAAAUAGACAAAGAUGUGGGGUUUCAAUCUUAAUAUAUAUGAAUUGCUAAUUUAUUAAAAGACAUAGAUCCUAAAGUAAAAAUAAUUUCAGAACCAUAUCAACCAAGUCCUUCCAUGAGUAACAAUGCUUUAUAUCAAGGGGCUGCAACUAGGCACCACAAAUGGAACUGGCCAUAGCCAGCAAAGAAAGAAGCCCUUGGAAUCAGGAAUCUCAUGUGGCGGAGUUGACAGAUGUACUGCUGGCUUUACUUUCUCAAGGUUUGGGAUUAUAAGAAGCUAGGUGAAGGAUCUAACUGCCUUUGGAGACAGGUCGGGUGUUGGUCCACUACUAUUUAUACGGUCCUCAACCGGAGUUGUCAUUAGGACUACAUAUUCAUAAUUCUGCUUCAUAUUCACAUCCCAGAGGUACAACAUAAGCAUGGUGAAUUAUGAGUAGAUGAAAAUCAUGUGCAGAUCAUAGUCUUUAAUCAUAGUGAAUUUGUAUAAGCCUCCUCCAAAGUGAAGAGAUUGGUAAAUGAGAAAGUAAAAGUCUAAUCAACCUUGAAUUAAGAUAGUAAAAUUCAUCUAUGAUAAAAAUUACAAAUUCAAUGGUAAUUAACCCUUCACUUUUAUCACUUUAUCAACCUUUUCAAUUUAGAUUAUUCAAAUUUAGAGAAUUCACUCUGCUAUUGAUAGUUUUUUUAAUUUCACAUGUUAACUCAAGGGUUCUAAGUUAAACUAAAAUGAUUUACAAAUAUUAGAUGACUUCUAAUAGAGAGUACAAUAGUCCUAAGUAGUAAGCACAAUAUUUUAAAUAACUCUAAAAAAGAACUAACCAUUGGUGCAUAUUUUUCAGAGUUUUGGAAAAAAUAUGAAGGAUCCAAAUUUGCAUGGACCUCUCUACCAGAAUAAGAUUUUCCUAAAAACCAAUCUAUCUAUAGAGAAUUUAGAUUGAAGGAAAAUGGGGAUAUCAAAGGGUUCUCUAACAAGUUUAAAAUAGUACAUAAAUAAUAUCUCAAGCAACUUUAGGUAUGGCUAAAAGCACUCCUUAAUAAUUACAGAUCAAUUAUUAUCCUAGACUUUCUCUGUACUAAUUCGUUCUUAUAUCAAUCUAUAUCAAACAUGCCAUUGCUGAUUUAGACAUUUGAGGAAUGUGUAUUUCAGAGUAUGUUUUUAUAAUCCUCAAAAUUUUACACAAGAAAUCUUGUAUAAGAAUAUGAAGGAUCCAAAACUGCAUGGACCUCUCUACCAGAAUAAGAUUUUCCUAAAAACCAAUCUAUCUAUAGAGAAUUUAGAUUGAAGGAAAAUAGGGAUAUCAAAGGGUUCUCUAACAUGUUUAAAAUAGUACAUAAAUAAUAUCUCAAGCAACUUUAGGUAUGGCUGAAAGCACUCCUUAAUAAUUAUAGAUCAAUUAUUAUCCUAGACUUUCUCUGUACUAAUUCGUUCUUAUAUCAAUCUAUAUCAAACAUGCCAUUGCUGAUUUAGACAUUUGGAGAAUGUGUAUUUCAGAGUAUGUUUUUAUAAUCCUCAAAAUUUUACACAAGAAAUCUUGUAUAAGAAUGUUAUUUUUUUUCAAUGUAAAAUUUCAAAGAAUGUAAAAACAUUGCACGAUAAAUAGGUCCUUUGGUGUUAUUAUAUUGUUCUGUACCACUGAACGUUUAAAAGCUUUACCAAACUAAGUCUAAGUGCAUUGCAAAAUCCAAUCGGAAACUUAAAUGAUACCAUAGGAAUUUAGAAGAGAGACUGAGAUUGAGAGAGAUAGAGACGGAGAGAUUGAGAUUAAAUUAAAUCUCUCUAUAUUAUAUUUGUUGUAAAGUAUAUAAAAGUAUCUCUUAAAAUCCUAUUUGAUUUAAGAUAAAUGUGGAGACUGAAACAAACAAAAUUACUUAAAUAUCUUGUUCAUUAAAAAAUAAAAAUUAUGAACAAUAUUAUAUAGGCCUUAGUAGAUAUUAAAUGAAGUAAUUUGUAUAUUGAUUUUAGGGAAUGACUUCAAUGGACCAACUAGAAUUUUAGAUCUUAAUGAUCUAUGUAAAAAAAAUAUAAAAUAAUCUUAUAAAAUGUCUAUACUAUUCUUGUCUUUAUCUUUUCUUCAAUUAAACAUCUUCCAUCAUAAUGCUUACUGCUAUUACUACAAAAAUAUCAACACCACCAUUAAUGGUAGCACCAACACUAUCAUUGUUCUCUCUUUUUUUGUGUUCUUCUUGUUAUGCAUUCAAACUUCGAACCAAAUCAUUGUCUCUCUUUUGUAUUUUUGAUCCAACACGCUCUUGGGAACUUGGACUCUUCUCCAUCCCGAAACUCUUCCUUAGAGACCCUAAAGCUGAGCGGCAGAAACUGAUGUCAUGGUUUCCUUCGAUAGUGCUGCGAUGCCAACACCGAAGAGGGCAAGAAGCAUGUGAGGUACUGCUGACAGGGGGUGAUAAUGAGCGGAGGAGAUCUGCGGCGGAGAUGCCAAGUUAGUGCUCCGGUGAGGCAGUGGAGCAGGGUAGUGGCGUGGUUCUUUGAAUGAAAUUCAAGGCAAGGAGAUGAACCCAACUUCUAAAUGAUGACCUGUGAAAGAAAUUUUUUUGGCGGUAGCGUGUUGAUGUUUAGAGUGUUGUAGGAUAAAAAUGAAAUUUUAAAAUACAAUUAUUUUUUAAAUUAUUUGAAUAUAAAUAUGAUUGUUUUAUAAUUAAUAAAAAUUUUAAAUCUUAGCCAUUGGUUCAAAAUUUAAAUGGUCAUGAUUCAUAAGGAAUCUUAGACCAUCAAGAACCAUAAUAUACUUUCCCCAUACAAGAAGCUUCCUUGAUUUAUUCUAUUACAAAUCCUACCGAAAAAUUUACAAAAGCUCAUAAAAAAAUAAUAUCAAGGGAGUCAAGCAAAAGAACAAUAUUGGUAUUUUUGCAUUUCAAACCAUAUGCAAUUCAGAAAAAAAAAUAGUAAAAAAAUCAAGGGAGUCAUGCAAAGUACACGUACCUGCAACUGGGAGGUGGCUUUUAACAUGACAUGAUACAUAAUUAAGCCUUCCACCAUCCAAGAGACCAAAAUCUAUUAUUGUUCAAGGAGUUAGUUAAGAGAUUGUCUAGUCAGCAAGUAGUUAAGAUGGUAUGAAAGGUGUGACUUUAGAUAUUUUUCAGAUAACUAGUGCGUGAUAGAAAGUAGUAUAAAUAGUUAGCUCAAGUAUAUUUGUUCUUUAUAGUUCAUCAUUCUUAUGAAUCAUUCUUGAAUUCCCUUUCACAAACUCUCUUCCUCCUCUGUUCUCUUUUGACACGAAUCACCGAUUUUUCCUCAGUUACAAAAUCAAUGAUAAUUAAUUUAUAUAUAACUAUAUUUUAACUUUAGAAUUUCACUUUUUUUCUUUCCAAAUUAAUAAAAACCAGGAGUUACAUGAGAAUUAUUUAAAACACAAAGAAGUGUUGGACUAAUUAUGAUUAUUGUUUGGGUCUAGCUAAUGUCUUAAGUGCACUUAUUAAAGUGUUAAACAUGAAAUUUUUUUUAUUAAGAAUAAAAGUUUGAAAGAUUUCCAUUCUUUUAUAAUAUAUUUAUCAAAAGAAAUUAAAAAUUAUCUUAACGGCGUUGUUAGAAAAUUCUUAUAUUUAAUUAAAAGAAGUCCUCCUUUAAGAAGAAACAAUGCCUCGUGAGAAAUUAUUUGUCUCAAUUGAAAAAUUUGGUGAAGGGGCUAAUAUGAUUGAAUGACUAUAAUUCUGCGGUUACGAGAUCGCGACAAAGUUAAUAGAGCGACAAAAUUAAUAGAGGACUGAUUGUUUGAAAAAAAUGAUGAUUAAAGUCGAAUUAUUAUUUUCUAAUUAUAAAGGGAUAGAUAGUCCUUCCGUGAAAUAGACAGAGAUGUGGAGUUUCACUCUUAAUAUAUAUGAAUUGCCAAUUUAUUAAAAGACAUAGAUCCUAAAGCAAAAAUAAUUUCAGAAUCAUAUCAACCAAGUCCUUCCAUGAGUAACAAUGCUUUAUAUCAAGGGGCUGCAACUAGGCACCACAAAUGGAACUGGCCAUAGCCAGCAAAGAAAGAAGCCCUUGGAAUCAGGAAUCUCAUGUGGCGGAGUUGACAGAUGUACUGCUGGCUUUACUUUCUCAAGGUUUGGGAUUAUAAGAAGCUAGGUGAAGGAUCUAACUGCCUUUGGAGACAGGUCGGGUGUUGGUCCACUACUAUUUAUACGGUCCUCAACCGGAGUUGUCAUUAGGACUACAUAUUCAUAAUUCUGCUUCAUAUUCACAUCCCAGAGGUACAACAUAAGCAUGGUGAAUUAUGAGUAGAUGAAAAUCAUGUGCAGAUCAUAGUCUUUAAUCGUAGUGAAUUUGUAUUAGCCUCCUUCAAACUGAAGAGAUUGGUAAAUGAGAAAGUAAAAGUCUAAUCAACCUUGAAUUAAGAUAGUAAAAUUCAUCUAUGAUAAAAAUUACAAAUUCAAUGGUAAUUAACCCUUCACUUUUAUCACUUUAUCAACCUUUUCAAUUUAGAUUAUUCAAAUUUAGAGAAUUCACUCUGCUAUUGAUAGUUUUUUUAAUUUCACAUGUUAACUCAAGGGUUCUAAGUUAAACUAAAAUGAUUUACAAAUAUUAGAUGACUUCUAAUAGAGAGUACAAUAGUCCUAAGUAGUAAGCACAAUAUUUUAAAUAACUCUAAAAAAGAACUAAUCAUUGGUGCAUAUUUUUUAGAGUUUUGGAAAAAAUAUGAAGGAUCCAAAACUGCAUGGAACUCUCUACCAGAAUAAGAUUUUCCUAAAAACCAAUCUAUCUAUAGAGAAUUUAGAUUGAAGGAAAAUGGGGAUCUCAAAGGGUUCUCUAACAAGUUUAAAAUAGUACAUAAAUAAUAUCUCAAGCAACUUUAGGUAUGGCUGAAAGGACUCCUUAAUAAUUACAGAUCAAUUAUUAUCCUAGACUUUCUCUGUACUAAUUCGUUCUUAUAUCAAUCUAUAUCAAACAUGCCAUUGCUGAUUUAGACAUUUGAGGAAUGUGUAUUUCAGAGUAUGUUUUUAUAAUCCUCAAAAUUUUACACAAGAAAUCUUGUAUAAGAAUAUGAAGGAUCCAAAACUGCAUGGACCUCUCUACCAGAAUAAGAUUUUCCUAAAAACCAAUCUAUCUAUAGAGAAUUUAGAUUGAAGGAAAAUAGGGAUAUCAAAGGGUUCUCUAACAUGUUUAAAAUAGUACAUAAAUAAUAUCUCAAGCAACUUUAGGUAUGGCUGAAAGCACUCCUUAAUAAUUACAGAUCAAUUAUUAUCCUAGACUUUCUCUGUACUAAUUCGUUCUUAUAUUAAUCUAUAUCAAACAUGCCAUUGCUGAUUUAGACAUUUGGAGAAUGUGUAUUUCAGAGUAUGUUUUUAUAAUCCUCAAAAUUUUACACAAGAAAUCUUGUAUAAGAAUGUUAUUUUUUUUCAAUGUAAAAUUUCAAAGAAUGUAAAAACAUUGCACGAUAAAUAGGUCCUUUGGUGUUAUUAUAUUGUUCUGUACCACUGAACGUUUAAAAGCUUUACCAAACUAAGUCUAAGUGCAUUGCAAAAUCCAAUCGGAAACUUAAAUGAUACCAUAGGAAUUUAGAAGAGAGACUGAGAUUGAGAGAGAUAGAGACGGAGAGAUUGAGAUUAAAUUAAAUCUCUCUAUAUUAUAUUUGUUGUAAAGUAUAUAAAAGUAUCUCUUAAAAUCCUAUUUGAUUUAAGAUAAAUGUGGAGACUGAAACAAACAAAAUUACUUAAAUAUCUUGUUCAUUAAAAAAUAAAAAUUAUGAACAAUAUUAUAUAGGCCUUAGUAGAUAUUAAAUGAAGUAAUUUGUAUAUUGAUUUUAGGGAAUGACUUCAAUGGACCAACUAGAAUUUUAGAUCUUAAUGAUCUAUGUAAAAAAAAUAUAAAAUAAUCUUAUAAAAUAUCUAUACUAUCCUUUUCUCUAUCUUUUCUUCAAUUAAACAUCUUCCAUCAUAAUGCUUACUGCUACCACUAUAAAAAUAUCAACACCACCAUUAAUGGUAGCACCAACACUAUCAUUGUUCUCUCUUUUUUUGUGUUCUUCUUGUUAUGCAUUCAAACUUCGAACCAAAUCAUUGUCUCUCUUUUGUAUUUUUGAUCCAACACGCUCUUGGGAACUUGGACUCUUCUCCAUCCCGAAACUCUUCCUUAGAGACCCUAAAGCUGAGCGGCAGAAACUGAUGUCAUGGUUUCCUUCGAUAGUGCUGCGAUGCCAACACCGAAGAGGGCAAGAAGCAUGUGAGGUACUGCUGACAGGGGGUGAUAAUGAGCGGAGGAGAUCUGCGGCGGAGAUGCCAAGUUAGUGCUCCGGUGAGGCAGUGGAGCAGGGUAGUGGCGUGGUUCUUUGAAUGAAAUUCAAGGCAAGGAGAUGAACCCAACUUCUAAAUGAUGACCUGUGAAAGAAAUUUUUUUGGCGGUAGCGUGUUGAUGUUUAGAGUGUUGUAGGAUAAAAAUGAAAUUUUAAAAUACAAUUAUUUUUUAAAUUAUUUGAAUAUAAAUAUGAUUGUUUUAUAAUUAAUAAAAAUUUUAAAUCUUAGCCAUUGGUUCAAAAUUUAAAUGGUCAUGAUUCAUAAGGAAUCUUAGACCAUCAAGAACCAUAAUAUACUUUCCCCAUACAAGAAGCUUCCUUGAUUUAUUCUAUUACAAAUCCUACCGAAAAAUUUACAAAAGCUCAUAAAAAAAUAAUAUCAAGGGAGUCAAGCAAAAGAACAAUAUUGGUAUUUUUGCAUUUCAAACCAUAUGCAAUUCAGAAAAAAAAAUAGUAAAAAAAUCAAGGGAGUCAUGCAAAGUACACGUACCUGCAACUGGGAGGUGGCUUUUAACAUGACAUGAUACAUAAUUAAGCCUUCCACCAUCCAAGAGACCAAAAUCUAUCUCAGAACCAAACCAUCACCAUGGCCAGAAUGCUGGCGCGGUGGCUCUGACUAACUCCAGUAGCGGCAAUGGCAAUUGUAGUGGCGGCAACGACAACAUCAACAUACAAGGUGAGGAGGCAGAGCAGGAGCAAUAUAUAGCAGUGGCAGCGAUAGCUCGGCGACGUCCUUUGAAAUCAACGGUUAUGGCAGCAGUGGCAGCACCCACUGCCGUCGCCCUUGUGACCUCCACUCCUUUUCUCUCUCGAUUGUCUCUCUCUCGUCUUUUUCCAUCUCCCCUGAUUCGAUUUUUUUCUCUAUCUCUCUCUAUCUAACUCUCUUUCUUUUUUUCUCUCUCUCUCUCUCCAUUAUCAUUUCAAUGGCGGCGACGGAAAACAACCGGCGAUAGAGGCAGUGGCAUCCCCCCGCUUCAUUCUCUUCUGGUGACUCCAGGAUUUGGUAAACAGCGUGUGUGAGAGGUUAAACUUGUAAUUUAAAAAUUUGAAUAGGAGUAAAUUUAAAAAUAAAUUUAGUAAAGUUUUAUUCUCCGUCUUCAAAAAUUUUAGUCUUUUGUGUUCUUACUUUCUAAAGAAAAUAAAAUCGGCUGAGAUUAUGAACAAUGAACUUAAAUCUUAGCGCACCAAAGACAAAAAAAAAUUUGCACAGAAAUUAGGCAACAAAAAAUCUUAAUACUUACUUUUUCAAAUUUUAACCAUCAAAUCCCCUUCCAAUAUUACUGUUGUUGCUGCUUCUUUCCAAAUCUCCUCACUCACAUUGUUGUGACGUCAACUAGCAUCCUUACCGGCGUGUCUCUCUCCAUCGCUGGAUGCCACCAUCGCCGCUGAGCAUCUCAAGGUUGUCCCUGCGUCAACAACCAGCUCCCAAUCGGCGCUUCUCUCCCCCCUUUGCGCAUCAUUGUCGCCGCCUAGCCUCUCAGUGCCAGACUCCAUCAGCAAUCGGCCCCCACCGUGCGUGUCUCUCUCAUGCUCUUGAUACCGUCGUUGAUCCGCCAACCAUUCCCCCACACCGGCGCCGCAUCAACCAUCCCCCCACGCAAGCCUGCACCGUUGGCGCACUGAGGUUUUUCUAGGUAUCUCUCAACCAUGUACAACAUCUUUUAUAUAUAUAUAUAUGAAUUAUUUGACCCAAUUAGAAUAACCAUCCAUGUAGUACUUAAAAUAACCAUCCUCUUAUGUAGUGAAAUGAACAUCCAGCAUUUUUUAAUUGUAUAUACUUAAACCGAAAAACAACAUAAUCAUACACUAACCUGGUUAGCAUGACCACACUUCUUCUUGCGGUAGUUAACUGCCCUUGGGUGAAGGCGAGCAUAGCACCUAAAAUAGUAAAAUAAAAUGUUAAGUACGAUUUUGGUUGUGACCUCCACUCCUUUUCUCUCUCGAUUGUCUCUCUCUCGUCUUUUUCCAUCUCCCCUGAUUCGAUUUUUUUCUCUAUCUCUCUCUAUCUAACUCUCUUUCUUUUUUUCUCUCUCUCUCUCUCCAUUAUCAUUUCAAUGGCGGCGACGGAAAACAACCGGCGAUAGAGGCAGUGGCAUCCCCCCGCUUCAUUCUCUUCUGGUGACUCCAGGAUUUGGUAAACAGCGUGUGUGAGAGGUUAAACUUGUAAUUUAAAAAUUUGAAUAGGAGUAAAUUUAAAAAUAAAUUUAGUAAAGUUUUAUUCUCCGUCUUCAAAAAUUUUAGUCUUUUGUGUUCUUACUUUCUAAAGAAAAUAAAAUCGGCUGAGAUUAUGAACAAUGAACUUAAAUCUUAGCGCACCAAAGACAAAAAAAAAUUUGCACAGAAAUUAGGCAACAAAAAAUCUUAAUACUUACUUUUUCAAAUUUUAACCAUCAAAUCCCCUUCCAAUAUUACUGUUGUUGCUGCUUCUUUCCAAAUCUCCUCACUCACAUUGUUGUGACGUCAACUAGCAUCCUUACCGGCGUGUCUCUCUCCAUCGCUGGAUGCCACCAUCGCCGCUGAGCAUCUCAAGGUUGUCCCUGCGUCAACAACCAGCUCCCAAUCGGCGCUUCUCUCCCCCCUUUGCGCAUCAUUGUCGCCGCCUAGCCUCUCAGUGCCAGACUCCAUCAGCAAUCGGCCCCCACCGUGCGUGUCUCUCUCAUGCUCUUGAUACCGUCGUUGAUCCGCCAACCAUUCCCCCACACCGGCGCCGCAUCAACCAUCCCCCCACGCAAGCCUGCACCGUUGGCGCACUGAGGUUUUUCUAGGUAUCUCUCAACCAUGUAUACAACAUCUUUUAUAUAUAUAUAUGAAUUAUUUGACCCAAUUAGAAUAACCAUCCAUGUAGUACUUAAAAUAACCAUCCUCUUAUGUAGUGAAAUGAACAUCCAGCAUUUUUUAAUUGUAUAUACUUAAACCGAAAAACAACAUAAUCAUACACUAACCUGGUUAGCAUGACCACACUUCUUCUUGCGGUAGUUAACUGCCCUUGGGUGAAGGCGAGCAUAGCACCUAAAAUAGUAAAAUAAAAUGUUAAGUACGAUUUUGGUCUCUACGGUAUAGUUUGAAAAUUUUUUUGUGUCCAACUUUUUUUACAUACAAAAUCGUUCUUAAAUUUCAACGUAGUUUUAAAAUCGUCUUUCGGACCAAAAUACCUUUCUCUUCUUUUUCUUCUUCUUCAUCAAAAUAUCUCUUCUUCUUCUUCAUCACAAUCAUUUAUGAGCUUCCCGGUAACUUUUCUCAAUGAAAGAGUUGCUCCUUUAAGUUCAUUCAACAAUGUCUUAUGCAAAAUCUUAUCACCUUUGAUCAAACCAGUUACACUAACACCAUCAGGAUCUUGAAGAAAAGGAUUAUGAAGGGGAUUCAACUCUUCCAAAUUAAACCUAAGCAUCUUAUCAUUCGUCAAAAAGUCACCAUUUUUAUCAAACCAAUCACCUCAACCUUCCCUCGAAGGCGAAUUUUUUCUUUCCAAUUUCAAAAGAAGAGCAUCUUCCACACGUUUUACCUCAACAAAUGUCCUCCGAACACAUUCAUCAAUUGGAAUAUCACCAGAGCCAAACGUGGUCUUGCUCCGAUCUUCAUUACCUAUUACUGGAGACCCAAAAAAAAUUCCAACUUGGCAAGACCUAUCUUUCCAAUCCUACGGAGAACUCAUGGUGAAUGCCUUUUUAAUGACGCCAUUGACAUAGUAGAAAAAGUAGCCGGAAACCUUAAGUGGGAUGAAGGAGGGUUCUUCGUCGGCGUCAGCAGUGCCGUCGUCAUCGGAUGUGUCAUCGAAAGGGGAUUGCUCCUCGACGAUGUCAAGGGUGUCGAUGGCGUCCUCACUAGAAGAUGCAACAUCGAUGAUGGUGUCGUAGUUGACCAAAUGGUGGAGGGCACGGAUUCUUCAGAGAAAACAACGAUGAUGGUGGUGACGGUGAUGAUGGUGGCAGUGGUGGCAGGGGUUGUUGGAUUGGGAUAUGUGGUGAAAAGAAAAGAGGAAGAGGAAAUGACGACACAUAGCAACAACCCGUAGCGGGGGCUCCGCAUUGAUUGGAGCCAGGAUCGGAGAUUUUGAAACAGUUUUUUUUGGUGAUCAGGGAAAAAGUUUCUAUUUUGUAUGUAGUAGUUUUGCUUUUUUAUUUUGUUUAACAAUAUUUAUUACUAUUCUUGAACUUGAAUACUGUGUUGUUGAAUAUUGUGUAUUGUUAUUGUUGUUGGUUCUCCAUUAAUGGCUUAUUUUUUGUUUCUUUUUCUUCAGUUAAUGGUUUUUCUGUUCUUUUUUUAUUUUAUAUUUUUUAUUAGGAUUAAUUUGGUCCAAAAUUUAUAAUUUAAGUAAAAAGGACUAUUUUAAAAUCUAGCUGAAUUUUAAGGAUAAUUUUGCAUGCAAAAAAAGUUAGAGACAAAAAAAAUUUUGAUUUAUACUUUCGAGACCAAAAUUAUACUUAACCUUAAAAUAAAUUAGACACUUGAAACAAACACUUCAAGAAAAUGUAAAAUAACAAAUUUUUCUCCGAGUGUCACAAACUUAAAGUAUUAAACUCCACUCAACAAAUAGAAUAAAGGAUCUCAGAUAAUAGCAUGCAUGAACUAAAAAAUCAGAUCCUAUAUUCUAAGUUCUAAAAUAAUGUACCAACCUUAAAAAUUAACGGGUAAUAAACUAAGGCCAAUUGACAAAGUAAGAGAUGGACAUAAAUCUAGGGAACAAAUAUAACCCCUAGAGCAUUAGAAAAAAAUCUAAAGGGGCUAAGUUAUCGUCCUAAGGCAGAGUAAAAUUGAAAAUGCAAUUGAAAAUGAAAAAAUAAUUACUUGCAACAAAUCAUCUUGGCUUGAUUGUAUUUGUGGGCUAAAGCCAUGAGAGAAGGCUCAAUGACGCCGCCGCAAAGCCUGAGGACAAGCCGACAAGGUGAAGUGUUGAUUCCUUCUAGAUGUUGUACUCAGCCAAGGUGCGUCCAUUUUCCAGCUGCUUCCUGGCAAGGAUCAACCGCCACUGAUCUGGUGAAAUCCUUGGUAUGUAUGUGAAAACAUGCGAUUAAAUUUUAAACAUUACUGAUAUGACUUUGGAUGGAAUUCUUUUCAGGCUUUAACCACCAUGCUCAGACACCAUUUCUGGUUGUGCUAUUGUUUCAGAUGAGAGUUUACAGACAUAUAAAUGGUUGUUGGAGACCUUCCUGGAGACAAUGGAGAAUAAGCAUCUUAAAGUAGUUGUGACUAAUGGUGAUAUGGCAAUGAAGGGAGCUAUUCCAACAAAGUUUCCAUAUGAAAGUUGAAACACAUAGAUUUUAUUCAUGGCACCUUUAACAAAAGGCAUUUGAGAACGUAAAAAAAUUUAAGUUUUUGGUUGAUUUCAAGACUUUAAUUUACAAAACUAUUCUCCAAAGGAAUUUGAGAGCUUUGGUUAGAGAUGGUUGAAAAGCAUAGUUUAGGAGAGAACAGUUGGAUAAAAAAAAUCUCUAAGUGUAGGAGGUCGUGGGCUCAUGUAUAUCUACAGAAUAAAUAUUUUGGAUACCUCCAAACCACUUCUCAAUGUGAGGGGAUCAAUUCAAUGAUAAAGGCGUACAUUAAAAGGAAGAACACUAUCAUUGAGUUUGUCAGCAAUGCUAAUUUUGUUCUAUGUGAUUAUAUAAACAAUGAACUUGUAGCCAACUUCAAGACAAUGCAUACAGAGCCUUAAAAUGCUCUUUUAAGAACUUUGUUGCCAACACUUACACCUUAAGAUUGUUUAAUAAAGUAAGAUAUGAGAUUAAGAAGGAGGAAGCGCUAACUAUUAUUGUGUUGAUUAAUGAAGAUGGUAUAAUUAACUUAAGAACAAAUGCAUUUUGUAAAGUGUUGAAGAAAUGUUUUACUGCCACUGUCAUUUAUUUGAAAUCAGAGGGAUUCCUUACAGGCAUGUGUUUACUGCAAUGAGGAACCAAUACAUGGAAAAAUUUUCGAAAGGGAUGAUUUGUAAGCAAUGGAGGAAAAUGGCUAAAGUCCUUUAAGAUUCGUGUUAGUACCUUACCCACAGAUUGUAGUAUGUUGAUGGAUUUGGGCACUCAACAUAGUAACCAUUAUUUAGGCACUCAACAAUCUAUUAGCCAUUAGAAAAUAAAAAUUCAAGAUCAAAUUUUAUAGCCAAAGGUAGUAUGUUCUUUUGUUUGACAUACAUGCCUUGUGUAUUAUUUCCAUGAUUUUUGUUCAAAUUAAGUAUAUGUUCAAUAUUGUUCAAUAUUUUUUUAAUUUUCUUAAAACAGAAAUAGAUUGAGAAGGCGCCAUCCGCUAACAAUAUUGCCUCCUCUUCAAAGUAACUUCCAACUCAGCAACAACUUGCAGUGCAUGUGCGGUUAUUUUUCACUCAUUAGGGUUAGUGUUGUAAAAUUGUCAGCAAAUAUAUUCACAUUUCAUUUAUGUGAUGUGAUGUUUAUUAAAUUCACUUUGGGCAAGAUAAUAUGAGGCAUAACAUUUUUACCCAUCUGAGGUGGUCACCAAAUGCCAUUGAUGCUUAGAUUUUCUAUCUUCUAUUCAAUGCAACAACAUAUUCCAUUACUUCAUAUCCAGGCAAUGCAAGUAUCAAUGCACAUGCACCCUCUAGUCCAACAGGUGAGAAUAUGAUUUGAUUAGCGUGAUAGAGACGGCGAUAGGCUAGACUAUCCCCUAUCCGGAUAGAUAUGUCCCUAUGAGCGACUACGCCGAUCUUUAUAUGUUUUGGCCACGUCCGUUUCCGUUCCGAAGUGGAAGGUUUGGAUCUUUCAAUCUUAUGUCGUGAGGGAUGUGACCUAUGUUAGGUCCAUAAAAUACCACCGCUUUUGGUGUUCUAUGAUUCACCUCCGAAUAAUGAGUAGGUAGUUCGAUCCUUUUUAUUCUUCUCUUCAUAGUAAACUUAUGGGGGGUGCGGACCAAUAGGUCGAAUUACUAUAUAAAGAAGAGUUGUAAACUAUCUUCCUUCUUGUUCGAGUAGGAAGAUAUCGCUUUUUCUCGUUUCUUCUCUUCGAUAAGAAUAGGCAUUUGAAAUGAUAAAAAUUCCUCUUCAUUCUGUUGUGCUCAGCGAAAGAACUUCAUAAGCAUACUUUUUCGGAUCCAAACUUCUUUGUUCUUUCUAAGUAUUCUUCUUGCAUAGAAUAAUGCAACUGCUGUUGCAAAAACCGGGAUUUUAGUAGUUUGAACAACUUGUAAAUAAAUUAUGAAAGAACCAAGUUUGAAUAAUUGAUGUUGAAUGAAUGCGGAAUAAUGUGUCAUUUCAGUUCGUUAGUGGAGUUCAUGCUAGACCCAAGAACAAUAGCAGGAGUUUACAUAAUUAAAACUAUAAUUCUAGUAAUUUAUAAGUAAUGAAAGUUAUAUGUAUAUUUUAAUUUGAGUAAUUGAUAUUUUUAAAUUAAAAAAAUAGAGUUUAGUUAAUAAUAUUAUUAUUAAGCUCAAUAUCUGCUGAUAUGAGUAAAUAUCGGUAACUCUUCGGUGAACUUAGCUUUGCUAAUGUUUCAUCAAAUAUCUUCCAUUCUCAAGUUACUAAUGUCAUUUAUAUUAGUAACUCAUAUAUAUUUAACCCUAUAUAUAUUAUUAUUUAUGUUUUAAUAUAUUCAGUUUUCAUAAAUAUCUGUUUGAGAUAUUUAUAACUUGAAUCGCCGACUCGGUUACACUGAAACUUGACACCUCGCCAUAUUCAUUAAUGAUAAAGCAAGCAAGUAAAGUAAUCUUAAAAGUUUUAGAGAACGCAGACUUAAUUAAAGAACUUUAUAAUUCUUUUCCAUAAGACACUUAGGGAAGGAUGACGGAAUAAUGCGAAGAUAAUUUAUAUUGUGGAAUGAUAAGAAAGAAAAGAAAGAAAGAACAAAAAGAAAAUGAAAUAAGCAGAGAUACGGUGGUGAGUCUACCAAGAUUUGCUUUCUAGAGAUACAUCGGCCAAUCCAGGGGAUGGUCGCACCUGUAAGACAGAAGUUGCUUAUAGAGGUUAUCAAUACAUAUAUUAGCUAGAGAGAGCCUCACCUGUAAGACCGAGGUUGCUUACAUAGGUUAUGUUUGCAUCAAGGUUCUGAGAACCGAACCGGUCAUCGAACUGCUUUAGUUAUUGGUUCACUGGUUUACAGGUCCAACCGCACUUUAACCAGAAAAACUGUUUUAGAAUAAAAAUAUAAAAUAAUAAAUAAAUUAUAAAUAAAUAUUUUAAAAUAUAAUUAUAAUUUAAUAUAAAUCUUAAACUAUCUUCCAAAAUUAAUACACUACUUGAAAUGUCAUCGACCAAAGCCAUACGAUCUUAUCAAAGUAUACAAUAAAACUAAAAUUAAACAUAGAAAUACAAGUCAUCAUCUAGAUUUUCAAUGAUACAGAAAAUUACAAUUCUGAUUCCAAUAAAUCGGAAUAGAAAUUGAAACUAUAUAUUGAAAGAAUGAGCAUUGGCUACUCUUGUAGCUUCUUCAAUCUCAACUUGGCCAGCAUCAGAUCUUUCUAAGAGCAUAUUUUCUCUAAUUGUUAUCGCAAACUUAGCCAGUUCUUGGCUAACUAGUCCUAUUUUCCAUUUUGUCAGAUAAAAUUUAAGAGAAUUUCGAGACGAACACGUGGCCGCUAACGGCUCGUCAAUCGGAGCUCCGGAUUGAAAGUUAUAGACGAUUGAAAAUUGGAAGGAAGGUUAGGUCUUCUAAACGUGAUUCUCUCUUCGAAGCAUUCGCAGGAAUGAAAUGAGGAGAAAAGAGCUCGUUGCUUGUUUUAUAGGGUGGGUCUUGGACUUGGUUCGACCGGUUCAGCCCGUUCGCCUGAUUUUGGCAAAAAAAUAUUUAAAACUAGUGUCAAAAUUCGUAUUUUUAAUAUUUCUACUCCUCUAGAUUAUAAAAAUUUAAUUUCCUAAUUUAUUUGAAUAAUAAUUAAUUUAUUAACUAAUUAUUUGUUAAUUUCGCAGGGUUUACAUGAAGCUCCUCCAGGGUUAUCUUGGAGGCCGUGUCCAUCACGUCGAAUGUAACCCAAAUAUAACAGUCUACAAGAGCCCUCACAACAGGACGCUGCGUCAUACCUACAGUAGGGGCACCACUUAAGUUAAACCUAGGAGGUCGUAAAAUUGGAGGAAACAGAAACUAAAACUACGUUCUGCUGCGUCCUUAUUCUACACUAAUCCACGGUCAAUACGAAGCCUACACUUAAGAAUCAGACACCUAGAGGUAACCGCCCUAAGAGCUAGCUAACAAUGAUGAGCCCAACCCAAGCAGGAACAACCAGAAAUAAUGCAUGGUAUGCGUAGUAUUGACAGUAACAACAGAGACACCAUAAUGAAAAGAUGAAAGCAGAUAAGACUUACUAGUAGAUUGAAGAAGGAAGGAGGGUGAAUCUCGGAUGAAUGCGGUAGAAUUCGUAGCAGGUGAGUGAGUGAUGGAAUCAAAAACAAAAAAGAAUGAGGUGAGGAAGAUGUGAAAGAAUGAGGAAUGAACGGGUUACAAGAUGUCGAAAGCAGGCGUGAAAAGUUAGGAGUAAAAUGGGCCUUUCCCUUGACUUUCAAAUCAGUCAUAAUGAGCAUUAAAUGCUCAACAUGGAAACCAAACUGACAUCCCAAGUAACAGACGGAGACAACUCGCGCGUUGGGGACACGAACUCCAUCCACUGUCUCUCUGGCCCAGGAAAACUCGAUCGAGGCAGAUGCAAGUGAAUCAAACGCGCCAACCACGAGCUCUUAUCCUCACGGUUGGCACGUUGGGGGCACUGUUCCGGCCCAGCUCACUAAUAAUCUGGGUCCGAUUCACCGACCUGACGGGUCCACUGACCUGAGCCAGGAGGCAACCCGCGUGUCACCUCCCAUUCAACAAGAAACCUAGAUAGCUAGCAGAAGCUUCCAGAAAGGUGGGCUUGAUCACAAGGGUCCCACCCAGGUACAGAUUAUAAAUGGGGAGGAACCUACCCCUCUCCAGAGGUACGUCACUUUUCUAACCUUAAUUGGUCGCCUAUUCGUACGGACUUUGACUUUAGUAUCGGAGUAUCCUUGCAGGUGGCCCUACCUGCCGACACGCCGAUGCAUAGGCUGAAUGCAUUGCUCUAGCAGCUCACGUCCAGGUUCAGAUCCUCUUAUCCCCUUGCUCCGUCAUUCACCUACCCGAUCCACCAAACACCUGAGCAACCGAACAUGUUCUUUAUUUGUAUUUGUUGAUUAUGCUUAGCAGUAUCACAAAGAUAGGCACAAUGUCAAAGAACAUGAGGAAGCUAAGGUAGGCACAAUGUCAAAAACACAUAUGAGGAUACUCGCAUUCAUCCCACGCAGAAAUAACCAUUCAUUUUUUUCUUAUUACAAAUAUCAUAUAGAUAAAUAUAAAGAUUUAUCAAAUAUUUUUGUUAUGAUGGUGAUACUUUAAUUCAUGGUCUCUUGACAAGUGUUUCUUGAAAGAAUUUUGUUAUGGGAACUAAAUCAAGGGUUGUAAAGAUAAUCCAAUGCUUUUUUUUUUAGCUUCAAGAAUAUUAGGCGUUAAGACUUAAGCAAUUCUGCUAGAUAGACAAUAGAGAAUUUGAACAAUGUGAAUAAUGAGUUAGAAAUUUGGCUCAAUAUAAGUAAAAAAUAAAAAAUACUCCCUAAAUUAUCCAAAUAAAAAAAAUCUACUCAGUUAUUUAAAAAAUUUAACUAUGUCAAACCCUAAUUUACCAAACCAAUUCACCCAAUCAGCUUCUUCUCCCAAAAUCCUCUACCACCCUCACCUUCAUCAAUCAUCCCACUUCGCCGGCGUCAAUUGCACCCUCAUUGGCCAUCAUCCACGUCCGCAGGGGUCAGCACGUUGUUGCUGCUCAGCAAGUAUCCCCCUCCCCGGCGCGUCUCUCUCUCCCUCAUUAGUAGCCAACAUCGCCGACAGGAUCUUCCUCCUCGUCGCGUGUCCGCCGUGCCCUGUGCGUCUCUCUCUCCCUCGCCGAAAGCCAACCUCGGCAUCGGUUUCAACCAUCGCGGGAAAGAAGGUCGGCUCCGUAUACUCCCCCUUGACGCGCUGCUUGGCUCACCAUCCACCAUCACCGCGCGACGCUCACCUACUCAUCGGAAAUACUUGUUUUUGGACUCCUUCUUGCAUUUGUCGCUGGUUGGCACGGUAGACACGAUCACCGAUGUCGCACUCUAUCCAUUUGCUACUUCAAUAGGUUAGUUGAUGACCAGGAUUUUAAUUUUCAAAAGGGUGUUCAUGAAAUGUAUUUAGUUGAGUGAAUGAAUUUUGCCUCUAUCUCUUGUACACAAAACAACCAUCCACGUAAUACUUAAAAUAACCAUCAAACUUCCUAGAGAACUGAACAUCCCGCAUUCGUUAACUGUUUAUAUUUAAACCGAAUCCAAUAAAAUAACUAUCCAAUUAUUCAUUAAAACAACUAUCUAUACCAACAACAAUCAUCUGAUUUUGUAUGAAGCUAAACAUCCGCAUCCAACAUAAAACUUUAAUUCAUUACCUGCUUGGAUUGUUGUCCCAGUAUAGCGCACUUGCCAUCUGGAAGUAUAGAAUCAUCAAUGAUUAAUGAGGAUGAUGCAGUAGAAAUUUCUUCACCCAUAGUGAGCUCCAUCCAUGGUUAUGUGAGGGGAAUGCAGAGGUUACUAUUUACGGUGAGACUACGAUGGUGUCGGUGAAUGGCUAUGGCGGUGACGGCAUAGCCGACAGCGGGUGCAGCGGAAAGGGGGAGGCACGGGGCGGCUGUGGAGUGAUCAACCACGGUUACGGAGGAACAACGGCACAAUUUGAGGUUUCAGUGGUGUCGGUGGGAGCUCGCUGCAGCGUCGACACGAUCGGCGGGGGGAGGGAGUUGCAACAGCGCAGCUGAGGCUGCGACGAUGAGAGAAAAACUGGAGAUUGGAUGGUUAUGAUGAGAUUAGAAGUAAUUGUAUGUAAUGUGAAUAGGUUUAAUUACUAAUCCUUUUCUCAUAUUUAAAAAUUACUUGUAAUUUAUUUAGUAAGUACACGUGUUGAUUAUAAUUUAAUUUCUAAAAUUUAUGGUCAGCUCUUUGACCCACCACUUGAAAUCUAAAAUUAUAAUAAUACUCUUAGUAGAUAUUAUUAUAAUUCUUCUUAGAACUCUUAGUGAUCUUUAUUUAUCCUUUUUUGGUGUUCUUUCUUAGGAAAAGAAAAAAACUAGUAACUAGAUAGACAUAAAUUAGUAAUUAAGACUACUAAUAUAAUAACACCUCUUAAAUGUAAACCUAAUUGUGUGCUGUUUCAUGCGUAGAAUUGUAGAAGACUGUUAGAAAGGUCUAAACAUACGCUAAAAAAUCUCAACAUUCAAGUUAAGGAGUGAUAUCAUAUGAGGAAUUUUCUUAGGAUUUAGAACAAAGAUAUUUUAUAUCUAUAAAACAAAUACACUUUUGUGAUUAUUUUUUUAUGUCUCUAAUUUAUCUCCAACUAGUAUUAAAUCUAUGCGGUGCACAAUUUUUAUUCUAGUUUAACAUGGUAAAUUGAAUAUGAUAUAAAAUAUAAAUUUAACAUAGUAAAUUAAUAUGAUAAAUUAUCAAUACGUAAAGAUACUAAAAUUUAAAAUUUUAAAUUUGAAAUAAGAUAAGAUAACGAAAUUUUGAAAAUAAAAAAAAGAUGAGAUAAAGAUUUAAAGGCAAAAGAUAAACAAGAAAAUUAAACAAAAAAAGAUAACUAAUGAGACACCAAACUUAAAAUUUAAAACAAGAUAGAAACAAAGAUACAAAAGUUUUCAAAAAUUUGAAAUUAUAUUUUGUUUCUUUUCUUUUUUUUUCAAACAUAUAUAUAUUUAAAUAACUUGUGCUUUUUUAUUUUAUUUUUAUAUCUAAUUCUACUCAUCUAUAUAUCACAUCAUAAUAAUUAAACUUAAAAGUUUAGAAAUACGAUGAGGGAGGUAUAUUGAGUCGCUAAUAAUAAUAACGGUCUUAUAUAUCUUUUUAUGGUAUGAUCAUCUUUUAUUUCUAGACUUAUGUUUCUAUCUAAAUAAAGAUUGCAUGAAUCUUUUUUUAAGAUAUAUCUUUUGUAAUAAUUUUUAUUGCACAACAAUUUAAAAUAGUAAUAAUAAGAUUCUGUCAUUCUUUUACUCUUUUGUCUGUUUCUUUAAAAUAACUUUGAGAGUGUUUGGUUAGAGGUUAAAGCAGGGUGAAGAUUUAAGAGAGUAAUUUUGUUUUGUAAAAUUAAAAAAUAAGUCACCCUAAAAAUUAAGAUGAAAAAAAAAUGCCAGCCACUUACAAAGUAUAUAUACAAGAAAAUAAAUAUAAUAUAAGUAGUACUCUUUUGAAUAAAAUUGAAUUUGUUUAAAAAAAUAAAUAUCAAAGUGACAAUAUCUAAAUUUUAAUAAAUUAUAUCGAUUUUAUAUUUUAAAUUAAUAUAAAUUUUACUGAAAAAAUAUAUAGUUUAUUAAAUAUACUAUCUCGUUGUCAUGACAAAUAAAUUAGAUAUUAUUAUGCAUAUUUAGUUGCGAACGCCAAAAAUAAUAAAAAAUAUAAACAUUUUUAAGAAUGCAUAUAUAAGUAAAUAAUUAAUUUAUUUAUUUAUUUAAAAAUUCUCGAGUUUGAGGUAGGGUAUGAGAAAAAUAAUAUGUCUCUCUAAGAUCACGUAGGUAAAUGAAUCUUUGAGAAAAUAUAAUCGUAUUCAUAACUCCUUCUCCUUAUGUAUUUUUAAAAUUUUGAAUGAUAUAUUCUUAAUAGAUAAAAUUAGAUUCAGUCAAGAAGUUCAUGUGGAUUUAACCUUUUUGAAAUAAAAGAUAAAUCCAAAAAAGAUACAUCCUAUAUUGUAAUCUUAUCCAUAGAAUAAUAAUCUAUAACGAAAAAGGAGAAACUACUGCUUCAGAUAAAAUCAAAAUUGAAAACUACCUUAGCCUUUGACCACUCUUUCUUGUACCUCACCCUAUAAAUAUGGCAAUCAAAUCCCUUCUUCUUCUUCUCAUAGUUUCUGAUUUUUUUCCGUUUUCCAUCCAAGUCUCCACACAAAUUACCAAACCCUUUUUAAUUUUUCAUAAGAUACAUUCUAUUUGCUUGAAUUGAAUGCGUCAAUUAAGGUGCAUCCACUCCUUAAUAGCGGUGUUAUUUUUUACUGUGAUACUCAUAAUUAGCAAUAAUGGCGUUGACGCUUUUCACAAAGUACACCCUCAUCUUCAAUCUGUUUCAAGAAUUUCUGUGAGCGACAAACACAGAACUGGAUAUCAUUUUUCAACCUCUUAGGAAUUGGAUUAACGGUUUGUAACCGUUUUUUCCUUCAUGUUCAUAUAUGCUUCUUUUGGUUGGUUGUUCAAUGAUAAAAAGCAAAGAACAAUGUGUAUGAUUUUAAAAUAUUGUUAGUGUUGUAAGGACCUUGUAGAAUUAUAUAAUAAAGAAUGGGAAAAAAAAUAAAAAAUAUUAAAAUAAGCAUCCUACUAGUUACGUUAAGAUUUAUCCAAUGUAUCCAUGCUGAGAACUUUAAUCAAAGUAAGAAGGGAUAAAACUGGGAUUUAAACUCUGGUAGAAUAAAAUGUCAAAGAUGUAAAUUUGGGAGAAUGAAUUUUUUUAAAUUUUUUUUAAUUAUUUAGUAAAGUAUAAUCUUUUAUCUUAUAUUUCUUUACGUAGGUUCAAAAGAAAAUAUGUAAAAAAAUAUUAGAUAAUAAAAAAUUAUAUUUAAAUAAAUAAUUAAAAAAAUUUAUACUAUUAUAAAUGAUCCUCUCAAAUUUAUUUGGAAAGAAGUUAAUAAUCUGAAAAUUUUUUAACUUUGUCCUUUUUUAUGUUUUUGUCAGUUGUUUUUCUCAAGUCUUGAAUAUGUUUACUAGUGUGUGGAAUAUGUUUUUCUCCCAUAUAAUAAUGGUCUUUGAUACAAUUAGUUGCUAGUAAAGUUACUUGACUAAUAGUUUUUUUAUUUUAUAUUUUAUAAUAUGAAUGCUUAUUAGCUAUAGAAUUUAAUUUUACAUGUGCAUCAAAAUUAAAAUCUCAGUUAUAUAUAGAAGACAUACAAUAGUACAAUAUACAUAAGCCCAAGCUUAUGAAGCUGAAAAUUUAUAUAUGCACUCAGAACUCUUGUUUUGUGCAUUGUCUCUAAAAUUAUCUUGAAUCUUGGGUCUCCAUUCAUCGUUGGUUAUUGAUACUGGCUAAUUAAACUUCUUUGCUUUUCUUAAUUCUUUUAUAUGGUCCCGCAAUUGGUUAAUGGACGCUACAAUCAAAUUAUGCAGAUCCAAAUAGUUAGUAUUUGUUUUUCCUCUUUAAUUUCUUUCUAAUUUUUCUUAAUGAUUAUUUUUCUGACCACCUUAACCAAUAUAUAGCAAUAAUUUUAUUUUAAUUUUUUAUUCCUUAAAAAAAAAUUUUCAACAUAAAACUGUUAAUAGUGUAAUAUGGUAUUCAAUUAAUUAUAUAAAUUAUAAUACAUGUUGAAAUAAAAAAUCUAUGUGAAAAUAUGUUAAUUAUACUCUUAUUUAUAAUACAUGUUAAUAAUUUUGAAGAAUGCAUGUUAGAAAUAUAAAAUUACAAUAAAAAUAAGUUAAAUUAGAUAUAUUUAUACAUAAAUAUAUAAUAAUUAAUUUGGUGACUUUUAAUUUUUGAUGUGUGAAUAUCAUUUUGAAUAGUUUAAUGAACACAAAUGAAUUAAUACAGGACCUAUGCACUACAAUGGAUACUACCAUCUGUUUUAUCAAAACAACCCUAAAGGUUCAGUGUGGGGUAACAUUGUAUGGGCUCACUCAGUCUCAAAAGAUCUCAUCAAAUGGAAAGUGCUAAGAAUUAUAUUAUAUGGCAUGACAUUUUAAAGUGCUAAGAAUUAUAUUAUAUGGCAUGACACACCAGGCAGAUGUAGAAGUUACCUUCUCAUUUUCAAGCUUGAACGAGGCUGAAGCAUUUGAUCCAAGUUGGGUCAACGCAGAGGAUUUGUGUGGCAAAAAGGGUUCAAAUAUUCAAGGUGGGGUUGGACCGUUUGGUAUUCUAACAUUGGCUUCAAAAAAUUUGGAGGAGUAUACUCCUGUCUUCUUUAGAAUUUUUAAAGCUUCGAACAAGCGUGUAGUGCUCUUAUGCUCCGAUGCAAGAAGGUUUGUAUUUGACGAAUAAUUCAAAUGGAUUUUAGAAUGUUACCUUCUUUUCGUGUCUUCUAAAUGAUUAACUUACUUCAAUUUCUUGUUUUUCAAUAGUUCUUCUUUGAAGAGUGAGUUGUACAAGCCAUCAUUUGCUGGAUUUGUAGAUGUGGAUUUGUCUACUACUAAGAAGCUUUCUCUUAGGAGUUUGGUAUGUACAAAUGCAACAUAUUCUUAUUAUUGGUGUUAACAUUUAUGUGAUAUAAGAAUUACUAUAUUAAUAUUGGCUAACAUUCUAUGCUAUUUUCAAUUAAAUGACAGAUUGAUCAUUCUGUAGUGGAGAGUUUUGAAGUAGGAGAGGAAAAACAAAUAUUUUAUCUAGGGUUUAUCUUGAGUUAGCUGUGGCAGAUCAAGCUCACUUAUUUGUGUUUAACAAUAGAAUCAUACUAAUCGUUGUAAAAAAUCUUAGAUCAUAGAACAUGAAAUCUGCUGUUAUAAAUUGACAUGCCAAAAGAUUAUUUAGUUUAUCUUAAAGCUUGAAAAAUGUACCUUUAUCUAUUUUUAAUUGAUUUUUUUGUUAUCUUUUUAUAUUAUUUUCAUAAAUUUUAGAAGAUUAAUAUUUUUUUUCAACGAUCUAAUACACUAAUUUACGCACAAAUUACUGAGUAGUAUGCACAUAAUAUAUAUGCAUAGUAACAGAAUCAGAAAAUUGAUGGUGUAUGGACAAAAAUAAUACAUAAAAAAUAUAUUAAUUCUAAUUUAUAAAAGAUAAAUACACAUUAGUUAUCAUAAUACAAAAUUAAAAAAAAAUAUAUUAGUCACUAACUUUUUUUUAGUUGAAAUCUUUAAAAUAUUUAUCUUGUCUUCAUAUUUUAAAAAUGCUAAAUAAUUAUUUUAUUAUCAAUUUGAUUAAAUAUCUUUUUUAUACAUGUGUUACAAUUUAAAAUGAGUCAUGAUUGAUGUUCAGGAAAAUAGUCUCCUAGCAAACCUAACAGAUUCUAAUAUAAUAUAAAUAAAAAGGUUAUAAAUAUUUUUAAUAAAUUUACAUUUUCUAGAAUAAAUAAUUACAUAUUUAACAAAAAAUAAAAUAAAUAAAUAUGAAUGGAUCCUGUUUAUGAUAUAUGGAGCAGAUAACAUCUAAGAACUCAAUAAAAAAUAGGUAUUCAUUGCACAUUAUUAUUCUUGAAUAGAAAGACUCACAUAAUCAAGUAUUUGUUCCCAAAAAAUAUUUUUAGAAAAAUGGAAUGAAUUUUAUAAUCCAAUGACUAGACAAUAUAUCUAUAAUUCACAUGAAAUCAUAUAAAUAUUAUUAUAAAAUAAUUUUAGUUAGAAAAUAAUAAUUUAUAUGAAUAAGUGAAUCAAUAAAGAAGUUUGCAUACAAAAAUCAAACUAAAAGUUCACACUUAGCAACUUCUCUUCUAUGAAUAGCCUUUUUCUCUUGUGUAUCUUAAUAGAAUAACAAAUCUAAUACAAUUAUUUUUGUUUAAGUGUGUUGCUAACUCUCUUAAUUAUCUUGUCUUGUACUAUUAAUGUUAAUAUUUUUUUUUUUUCAUGUUCAUUUUGGCCCUUUACUGAAAUAAAAUAAAAGGGAAAUGAAGGAGAAAAUAAAUUACAUUUUUUGUGAUGUUUUAUACUAUUUAUCCAUUAUUUUAUAGUCAUGAGGUAAGGAAUUUUUUUAUUAGUAUACUUAAUAUUUAAAGUCAUGAUAAUAAUUAUUUCAAAGAGGACCGUGUCAAAGAAUUUUUUAUAAGAGAAAAAGGAGCAUAUUGAUUUAUGUAAUAAUUACCGUUUUUAAUUUUUAUGAUUGUUCAAUUGUCUUUUUUAUGUGUACUAUCAAAUGUUUAAUUUGUUGUUUUGUUUUGUUUUUUUGUUAUUGCUUAUAUCUUAUGGCUUGUGGUUUUGAUUUAUGAUUGUUAUGGGUAUUCUAUUUUCUUUCUAUGAUUAUUGUUUCGUUUUUCUUGCCUUUUUGUGUUGUUGUUUCUCAUUAAUUUCUUUAACUUCAUUUACUUCGAAUGUUUUAAGGUUGGUCUACAAAUAUUAUAGAUUUUUAGGCUUUGUAUUUUCUUUCUCUUCUUUGAUUAUAAAAGAUUGUGUCCUUCAAAAUUAAAAAAAAAAAUUAAAAGAAGAUAUAUGUUUGUUAAUUUAUCUAGACUGUCUCUUGACUAAUUAAUAAAUUUUGAUAUUAGAAAAGUCUUUUCAAUAUAUAUAUAUAGUUACGUAUUUUUUUGUUUUUUAUAUCUUGGGUCAAAAUUAAAAUCGUUUCUAACCUUUUUUUUAUUAAUAUCAUCCUUAAAGUUAUUGAAUAUUUUAAAAUUAUCUUUUUGAACAUAAUAAUUUUGUAAAUGACACAAAUGUCCUUUUUCUAUUAUCACUACCAUUACCCCAUCCACCAUGACCCCCAUUCCUUCCCACUUAAAACAGAAAAACCAAAACGAAAAAAAGAAUAAAAGAGGGAGAAGAAAGAAAAAAAAAGGAAGAAGAAGAAGUAACAUCAGAAAAAGGAUGGCUGCCGUCAUCGCUUUGUGACGGUAGUGAGAGACAAGACGAGGAUAUGAGAGAUAGAACAAAAGAAGAGAGAAACAAAGAGGGAGAAGAAAGGAAAGGAAAGGAAGAAGAGGGAGGUGACGGCGGAGAAGAGUGCGGUCGCUACCGUCGCACCAUGAAGGAGAGAUGACAACGGAAAAGAGUGCGGCCGCCGCCAUCGCGUCGUGACUGAGGUGGGAGCUGCUAUGUCAGUGUCGAACUCCAUCACCGUCGUCGAGCUUCUAGUGGUGAGAGGAUCUGCUCUUCUCCCUCUCUCGAUCUGAUAUGUCUCAUAAAAACAUAUAGUCUCAUGUGCAUAUUAAAAUGAGCUUAACAAGAAUAGAUAUUUAGCUUUAAUAAAUCGAUCAUUCAAGCCAAAUUAAAAUUCUUUGAUAGUAAUUUUGAUAAUAAUCUUUGUAAGUAUAAUUAUAAGUUCAACGCAUCGUAUACUAAAUUAAUUAUAGACGAAAAGCAAAACAGUUAUAAAUAUAAAGUCUACUCACAAUUUGGUCCCAAGGAACUAAAGAUACCGAACCUGAAGUACCAAAUUCAAGGUGAGAAGUAUUGAAAUAGAAUGGAACGAAUGAGUGCAGAAUUUAGACCGAGACAGUGACAAGGUGGAACUGGAGAUAGUUCUGAGAAUAAAAAAUAGAGCAAAACUAAAGUUGAAUUAAAACAAAGACAUGGCAGAUUAAAUGGUGGUAGAAUAGGACAUAAAAGCUAGAACAGAAUCAGGAAAAAAGGCUAGACUGGGAUAAUGACAGGAAUAGCUCCGGCUGUAAUACCAUAUUACACAAAGUUUUACGCUUAAGUCGUAGAAGAGAGGUAAUAUGGUGUUACGGACCUCUAGACAGCAAAAUAAAUACAUAAUAGAGAAUAAGAUAAUAUACUAGGAACCUUGAAACAAAACGGUUAAGCAAAAAUUGCAAAAUGAAAAGUGCAACGCUCAAAGGAAAGGAUUACUUGCGUGCUAAGAAACCUAAUAGGAACAUGAUAAAACAAUAAACAAAAGGAUAAAGAAAAGCCAAGGAACAGCAUAACUAGCCCCUGACUCAGCCUGCGAAGCUAAGGCUGGCCGAAGGAUACAUAUAUACAUAUAAACAUACAUAAGUAUCCCCAAAUAUACCAAAAUAACAAAGUAAGCUCCUAUCUCUCCCUCAACCUCUAAGAGGAGCAGCGUACAUAAGUUACUUGGAGAGUAAGCUACACACAUAUAUAUAUACAUAUAUACAAAUAGAAACCAAAAUACACCCAAAGACUACUUCGCUUUCCAGGAUCCAGACGCCUAGCGAGGAGCCUCUCGACCUGCAUCUGAAAAACAACAAUACAAUAUGGAAUAAGAACCGGAGGUUCUCAGCAUGGUAAAAGUGCCACGCAUAUAAUAAAUAAGGUCCUGAGAAUGCCAUAGGCAAUCCUAGAACUCCGUUAUUCAGUUAUCCAACUUAAAUACUAACCAUAAGCCAUAAAUAGAGGUAGGUGUUCUAAUUCUACCUAACUUACUCAAGUUCAAACUUAACCUAACACCAAACCAUUUCCUCUGUUUCCUCCAUCCUUUCAUCAUUCAGAAUGCAACAGAAACAGGCAAUCAAACAAGUUCAUGCACAAGUAGUGAGCAGAUAGUACAAAUAGCAAGUAUAACAGAUAGUAGGUGACUUAUAUCAACUAGGCAAACCCAGGAAAUGCAUAGCAGUCAAACAAACAAAUGCAUAUGAUGCAUGCCUGUCCUAUGGAUGAUGGAGCCCAUCUGUCGGUUAUCCAGCCAACCCGACAAGUCCGAAAACCUUAGACUGUCCCCCGUCGCGCAUCCCCAAGAGUCUAUGCAUAGAGUUCACAUUCAUUCAUCAUAUAAUCACUCAAUGGGGGCUAUCCAUACCCAGGAAUUUAUACGUGCCCGGUCACCCUUACGACGUAGGGUCAACAGAGUAUCGAGAUUCAACCUGGAACACGUGGUGCCGAGCCACGGUUCUUACCCAGGAAAACUCGUAUCUCAGAUAUCUUUAUUCAUAAGCCAUGACAAUUAUCAUCAAUACAUCAUCAAAUAACAAGCCUGAACUUUAAACUUCAUUAACAUUCUUAUUUUCUUCAUAAAAACCACCGUUUACAACUUUUUUCACCCUCAAGUUAUCUUGUUUUCCUAGCUUCUUUUAUCUACUGAACCUAGAACCAUAUCUUAAACCUUAAAGGGAAGAAAAUGGAGGUUUAGAAGUGGAAAUUGGUUUCAAAAUGGCCAAAACCAAUUUUUGCAGCAGGCAGCAUCCACGUGUACGCGUAGGCCACGCGCACAUGUCAAGUAUACAUCAAGUCACGCGUACGCGUGAGUCAUGCGUACGCGUGAAUAUGCACACAUGCAUACGCAUGCCUCUCGCGCAUGCGUCGCCAGAACUCCACACCACGCGUACGCAUGGAUGGCGCAUUUUUGAAAAUAAUGGGCAGAAUGCCCAGAAGCAUUCUGCAAUCAACUUUGCCACCCUGCAACACAACUUUAUACACCAAACUUGUAACGUCCAUAACUUUCUCUACGAAAUUCUAUUUUUCACAAAAUUAAUAUCAAUCAAAAGCCCUUAAAACCAUCUUUUACUUACAAUAAACCACAAUUCAAUCCAAAAUUUGAGGAUAAUAUUAUGGACGUCCAAAGUUCAUCAAAAUUUAGUUUUAACCACUUUCAACAAAAUCUCAUUUUCACCAACUUAAGUUUCUUACCAUUUAAACUUACAUUGUAAUGCCAUAUCAACUCAAUUCAUCAACAACCAUUGCCAAUAUAAGCUUUAAUCAACUUAACCAACCUUGAUCAUCAAUAAUUAUCCAUUUUUACCUCAUACAUCAAUAACCCUUCAUUUGUUCAUAUCAAUUCUUCACCUGUACCAACUUUCAUCAACAUAUACCAAUUAAAAUACCAUUAACACAAAUCAACCCUUCACACACAUUAAUCCAUCAACUUAACAUAAUAACUAUUUAUUAACAAUUACCAACCAUAAUUCAUCAAUAUCAACAUUUAUACCAACAACAACACAAAGCUACUCAUUAAAUGCCAUUAACAAAUUCAACUUAUCCUAUGGUUCUUCUAACCUAAGUUUUCACAACACCGUAAAUUUUAAACGUGCGAAACUUAAACCAUACCUUGGC
rnacentral:lncRNA from 1 species